GUGGGGAAUAUUGGACAAUGGGCGAAAGCCUGAUCCAGCCAUGCCGCGUGAGUGAUGAAGGCCUUAGGGUUGUAAAGCUCUUUCAGUAGGGAAGAUAAUGACGGUACCUACAGAAGAAGCCCCGGCUAACUUCGUGCCAGCAGCCGCGGUAAUACGAAGGGGGCUAGCGUUGUUCGGAUUUACUGGGCGUAAAGCGCACGUAGGCGGAUUGGUCAGUUAGAGGUGAAAUCCUGGAGCUCAACUCCAGAACUGCCUUUAAUACUGCCAGUCUAGAGUCCAGAAGAGGUGAGUGGAACUCCUAGUGUAGAGGUGGAAUUCGUAGAUAUUAGGAAGAACACCAGUGGCGAAGGCGGCUCACUGGACCGUUGUUGACGCUGAGGUGCGAAAGCGUGGGGAGCAAACAGGAUUAGAAACCCUGGUAGUCC
rnacentral:rRNA from 1 species